AAAUUAAUUAAGAUUAUUUUUAAUUUUAAAAUUAAAAUUAAUUUAAUUAUUUUGUUGGGGUGACAAAAAAAUAUAAAAAACUUUUUUUAUAAAAAAACAUAAAUAAAUGAUUAAAUGAUCCAUUAUUAGUGAU
rnacentral:rRNA from 1 species